rnacentral:rRNA from 1 species
AUGGCUACGUCCAAGGCAUUCCCAGCUCUGGUCCUUCUGGCGCUCGUCUGCAGCCAGCUCAUGGUCGGCGGCCAUGCCCAGGCGUACAUCGGCGGCACCAGGGGAGGAGGAGGAUCUGCUGCCGGACUGCAGCCACCGACUUCCACCACUACCCAUGGCCACUCCUCCACCAUUGGAGGGCGUUCAGCCGUGGAAGAAGACAAGGCCUUCAUGGUCAACAGCCUGACGGCGCACAACCACCCGCUUCCUGUCCCGCCUUCCGCUCACUGUUCUGAAAAUUGUACAUGGUCCAAGACUACGAUGACCUCUCAAACGAAACCACGAGAACCACUUCUCCUUGAGAAGAUCGCAAAUGGAUGGAGCUGGUUGCAGCAUGUUGGUCAAUCGCUUUCAGGCAGCAACCACAUCACCCCCGUGGUGGAUGCCCUGUUGAAGGUGCCACCCGACUCAACAAUGUCGGUGCUCGAGGGACGACAACAAGCAUUUUUGUUUCAGGGGAUCUAA